rnacentral:rRNA from 1 species
UACGACGGGGGCUAGCGUUGUUCGGAAUUACUGGGCGUAAAGCGCACGUAGGCGGACUACUAAGUCAGGGGUGAAAUCCCGGGGCUCAACCCCGGAACUGCCUUUGAUACUGGUAGUCUCGAGUCCGGAAGAGGUGAGUGGAAUUCCGAGUGUAGAGGUGAAAUUCGUAGAUAUUCGGAGGAACACCAGUGGCGAAGGCGGCUCACUGGUCCGGUACUGACGCUGAGGUGCGAAAGCGUGGGGAGCAAACAGG